AUGCGCAGUAGGGCCUGGCGAGCCUGGGGGGUGUUGCCGCGGCGCUCGCUGCCGCCACCUGCGGGGCCGCGGGGCGCCCGUGCGCGGUGCGACGCGGCUGCCCCGAGGGCGCGUUUCGCCGACAGCGGCGGUGGGGGCCGUGUUGGACUUGGGGGCUGUGUCUGUGAGGCUGGCUUUCCCACAGCCCGGCCAGCUCACGCGCGCUGGGAGGCACAGAGUCCUGCUGGCUGCACGUGGUUUUGUGUGCAGCUCCUGGCAGUGAGGCAGGCAAGACCCUUUGGUGGUUACAGGCUCGAGGGUGCCACCCGUGAAUAUUGGGUGUCCACGGGCAGGAAGCGGCAGGAGCCCCAGUGCAGAACGGAGGGGCGGCAGCCCGAGGCCCAGGUCUGCCCACGCAGGGAAUUUCCAAGCAACUGCUCAGAAAAGCUCCUGGGCUGGCACUGAAGUCCCUUUAUCCCCUGUGGCCACUGUGGUCAUCUGUGUCUGGCUGAGGCUGGCAGAGCUUUGGCCCAUGUAAAGUGUGCAAGACCCCUUGGAUUGGGUAUGUGACAGCUGAGCCACCAGACCCAUAAAGAGGAGGAAGCUGGGGGAAAGAGUGAACAAGAAGUGCCUGAACUGCAAAAUCCUCCUGGUGGCACCAAGAGUGGGAACUGCAGUGGAAGAAGCCUUCUUGGCCCAAAUAAAUCCAGAACGGCAGCACUUCCUGAAAACUGGAGACUGGGUGUACAUACAAUGCUGCUGGAGGAACUCCCACCGCGAUGGCGAGGUCCAUUCCUAGUGCCAUUAACAAUGCAAAUGGCAGUGAGAGUGGAAGGAACAGACACCUGGAUCUGUGAGCGACAUGUUGUGAAGAAGAAGUAGCUAUGUUCCAGGAGCAGAUAACAGCGUGCAGCCAGCAGCUUCCCCAAGAAAGAACACUGAGGGCAAAAAAAAAAGACUUGUUGUUUUUUAGCAUUUAAUGAUUGGCAAGUUGACAGUGAGAUGGUUUUAUGUUAAUGUAAUCAUAGAGGUAAAGAGCUGGAUUUGGA